rnacentral:misc_RNA from 1 species
AAGUCGUAACAAGGUUUCCGUAGGUGAACCUGCGGAAGGAUCAUUAACACGUAUCCACGUAUCAACCAAUCGUGAACUCGUUUUCGCAUCUCCCUGCUGCAGUUAAUUGGAACGAUCGAACAGUUUGAGUGGGACUCUUUCGGGAGUCAUGGUUCGAUCUCAUACGAGAAUAAUUUCGGUUAUUCUCAUACAAUUUUCUGUGGUCAGGCAAUUUCUUAUAAUUCAAGCUCCAUUCAAGCUUUGAAUUAUGGGAGUCAAUACACUAAUUUCACCCCUUUUUGCUAGUUGACUUUUUUUAUGUGGUGUUGUUGCGAGAAUUUUAUUCUCACUCGGCUCACACGUUUAAUUACUUGAACGUUAAAAAUACAACUCUUAGCAAUGGAUAUCUUGGUUCUC